UCCUCCUUUUUCCCUCUUUCCUCUUCCUUCCUUUUCUUCCCUUUCUCUUAUUCUUAUUUUCAAUUCCUUUUUUAAAUCCCACAGCUCAACUGUGGAACUGCCUCGGAUACUGUGAGUCUCGAGGGUGGUAGGGGUAUGCGGAACUAUCGGUGGAGCGGUGAAAUGCGUUGAUAUCGAUAGGAACUCCGGUGGCGAAGGCGGCAUACUGGACCACAUCUGACGCUGAGGCGCGAAAGCCAGGGGAGCAAACGGG
rnacentral:rRNA from 1 species